rnacentral:snRNA from 1 species
ACUCGAGACCCGAGUCAAGCAUUCUA